CUUUUCUUGUUAGUUUUUGAAGUAUGGCCUGCCCGCUGACUGAGUGUUGAAGGGCCGCGGUAUUUUGACCGUGCAAAGGUAGCAUAAUCAUUAGUUCUUUAAUUGUGAUCUGGAAUGAAUGGCUUGACGAGGCACGAGCUGUCUUAAUGUUGAAUGUUUUAUUGAAUUUGGUCUUUGAGUUAAAAUUCUUAGAUGUUUUUAUGGGACGAGAAGACCCUAUAGAGUUUGACAUUUGGUUUAUUUGUUUGUUGGUUGUUUGUUUAUUUUGUUGGUGAGUAGGCUUUUUGUUUUGUUGGGGUGAUGAGAGGAAUGUAGUUAACUCUUCUUUGUUUUGAUUAUAUUUAUUUAUAGUUAUUUGAUCC
rnacentral:rRNA from 1 species